UGGAUUUUCAACGUGUCUCCUAAAUCUAUAGCCACAACAUCACUGCUAUCAACGUGUUUUAUAGCGCUAACACAGCAACAUGCCUUCAAAGUUCAAACUUAGAGCAAAAAGCAGAGCUCCAUCAACCUACAUACCUUCCCUCUAUUCUCCAUCCUGCCGUGUGCUCCUGGUGCUUAAGUUCGUAGCCAGAAAUACUUGCCUGGGAUAAAGCUAAAUAGAAUUCUUGGUUUGGCGAGUGGAGCCACAUACUUCACUCUGCAAGAAUUUGAUUUAUGAAGUGGUGCAGUCUUGAAAUUAAAUGCGUCGCAUUCCCACCGAAGUAAUUUGAGAUAAUAGCAGGAUAUAAUUAUUCAAAGUUAUAGUACAGAGUAACUACCAAUAGAGAAGUUGCAAAAAAAAAAAGUUGGAACAACUUCUAUUGGAGAUGUUAUUAAGUGAAAUGACAUGAUCAAGGAGGUAUAAGCUGUGUCUUUUAGUACUGCAGGUGGGAUUUAAACUCCUUUAUGGUAGAAAAGGAACAACGGCAUUUUCAUAUGUAAAACAUCUCUUGAAUUUGCUGGUGUGGCUUAUCAGAGUGGAGGAUAUGGUAUUUUCAAUUAUCAUUUGAGUACAUUGUUGUUGUGCUCACAUGAAUGUAAAGAAUGUAUCAGUUGGCAACCAUACCACAUCCAUGAGUGUGUAUUUAUUCCGAAAUGCAUCUAGAUAACAUCGAGGAAUUAGUAGUUUUGUUGCUUAUAUCGGAUUUAGUUAGUGAUCAUGUACAUGCAUCUAUGUCUCUGUCAUUUUAGGCCCAUCGAUGUAAUGUUGUCUGUAACUUAGUAGUCACUUGUAUGCAUAUAUUUCUUUCGCUGCCA